AUGUUUACAUUGAAACCAGCCCUCUUUUUCCCUGCACCACACUGCAGAGCUUAUCACUGUCGCCGCCUUAUCAGCGUGAAACUCAAUGUGAACACAAGCAUGUACCAAGUGACGCAUUAUGCCCCUAUUGCCAUAUAAAUAACCGUUCUACGCCACCCUCGGUAAGACCCCGCAGUAGAAGCAAGACUGAGUUAGCGACUGACAUUCAAACUCUAAAGAAAUCCAGAUCAUCUACUGAGUAAACAAGACUGACGUCAAAAUGUCCGCAUUCCACAAUUAUGAAAUCUCCUUCGACAUGGGAAGCGAAAGAACCAGGAGCAGCAACAGCCACCACAGCUCCGACAGCCGCGCCAGAACCAAGAGUCACGGCAGCGACGCCUCGGCCGAGGCCGUCCACGGUCCAGAAAAGGAGAAAAAGAAGAACAAAGAGAAACACAACUUCUGGAAACGCGCAUUUUCUUACUGGAAUUAGCGAGUUCUAAUAGUCAUUAACAAAUAGGUUUUAAGUUGUUGUUUUCUUUGCAGUUUGUUUUGAAAGUUGUGGACAUGGUUAAAUUACUACUUGUAAGUUGAUCUCUAAAUUAGUGUAAGGUAAAUAUUGAUAUUAGUGGAAUAUUACUUUAAAAUUGUUUGUCAAAAUCUGUUGACAACCUGACAAUAUAAACACCAUUUAUCCCUUUGCUGAUCGAUGAAUGAAUCAGUGUAUUACUCUUGACUGUGACUUGUCUAGGCAAUGAUGUACAGUAUGUAUAUCAAAUAGAAAUAAACCACACCAUGAAAAUGA